UCCCAUUCGUCAUGUCUCGGUGACCUCUGC
rnacentral:piRNA from 1 species